rnacentral:lncRNA from 1 species
CCAUGAUCGCUUUUUUAAAACAAAGUGUAGACAAAAAACAUGUGAAUGGCUUCUUACUUUAGUUUUCUCUUUACUCCUCUCCACCUCCUUCCCUGCUUCUACCUCUUAAACUUGUCAUUCCAUUCUGAUCAUUUCUCACUACUCAAUUUAUUUAUUGAGAUUGAACAUGCAUCCAUUAACUUAAGCUGACAACAAAUCGGCUGCCACCAAGUUAAUUACAUCACCAGGUAGCACGUCAGGCCAUAACUGGACAUCACCCGGCAUCAAACUCACACCCAAACCAGCUAAAUAAUGUGCUAUAGAAUUACAAGCAAGGAGAAUUACAACCAAGUGCAAAACAGGCAUCAUUUGUCAUCUGGUACCAGCACACCGUGUAAACUCAAUUAAGAAAAGACAUUUCCUUCAUUGGAUACUUCCGCCUUCCAUGACCAAGAAUAUCAUCUCUAUUCACAACACAUGCCACAUAAUUCACUAGAAAAUAUAAGAAUAAGGGUUUAGAGGAAGACAUAUCUGUGCCCCAUCCCCAAGCCAGGACAUUUGAAUAUGGAAUGAGUAAAAUGGAGUGAACAUGAGAAGGACUGCAGGUCAGGCUUACAUCUGAGAAACCCAUCGUAACACUCGAGUUCCAAUCCUGGUUCAGGUUUGGUGGCUUACUUGUUUUUGCUCGACAUGCUUGCAAUAGAUCAUCAAUUAUGGCUACCAACUUUAUCCUCCUUGUUUUUUCUCGACAUGCUUGCAAGAGACCAUCAAUUAUGGCUACCAACCUUAUCCUCCUGGCCUACCAUGUCAUGGGAAAAAUAGAUUCUGUCUAUCAAACAAAUCUAAUGAAAGAUGAACAUCACAAAAAUGAUGGUGCAAAAUGGAGAAAAUGUAUUUAAUUGUAUUGGGCAGAAUCAAGCACCUGCACCACAUUCCUUCGUACCACUAAUCAGAUGAACACCUUGAUAGAGAUGAGUGCAGAAGAUGCAACUUGAUGGCUCCAGUCAGGGAUACUUGCUCGUGUUGCCAACUAACACUAAUAUUAGCAGAAUCUAAGAAACAUUAAAAGGAAUAGGUUAUAGGUUUUUUUAAUCACUCAAGCAACACAGCCAGCUACACUUGGUAAAAUGACAUAGGUACAAACAUAGCUUAACUUAAUCAUUACAAUGCCCAUCUAUGAUCUCACUGUCUACAACUAAAGUAAUCCAAUGCAUUAAGCAAAACAAAUGAACCUACCUGUUUGAUCAGAAGUAAAAUAUAUGGAUGAUACAUCUAAGUAUUUGCAUUAAUAAGCAUGCAUUAUUCCGAUCAACAAGCUAAGAAAAUACUGAAUAUAUUCGAACAGGCAAUAAUUUAUCAAUAUACUCCUGCCUAAUAUAUCAGGUCUAUUUAUUUUGGAACUCAUACGGUGCAUCCAUGGUUGAUAAAUAGUUUUAGAAGCAGAUUUGAAGGUAGUUUAUUUGCUCCAUUCGUGACACUUAAAGACAUGUUCAUAUAACUACAGAGUAUAUCCUAAUGAAAGUACAACAAUUUUAGUAGACAUACCUCAGGAUGCAUCCCAUUCAAUGGACCAAAACUAUUUCCACAGAAAUUAAGCAUCCGGGGCCAUGAAUGCAUAUGAUUUGGACUUGCAAGGUGUUCAAGUAUGCUUGAUAUUCUUCUUAUUUCUACGAUAUCUAUUAUUUUCCAGAAUGCAAAUAAUUCCAUCAUGUAUAGAGAUACAGGAAUAUGAAAGUUCUACUUAGUCAUCCAAUGUGCCUAAAGACAGCUCUUUUUAUAAAGUUGGCUCCUAUACGAGAAGAGAGCAAAUGAAUUAGUGAAUCUGAGCAAGACUGGUAAUAUGAAACCGAAUUAUUAGUUAC